UUAUGUAGCUGAAGCGAACGACGAACCAGAGUUCAACAAGAAGAUGAAAGAAAUCGUGAAAAAACAUAAAAAACCUCCUUUUUCAACUACUCGAUUCACUGCGAUGAUUCUAUUGGCAUAUUUCUGGAGUUCGGUGUUUCAAAUGGGCAUACCAGAAGAAGAAUUUUACGAUAUUAAUUGGAAAGUUCUCUAUAUUCUGACACCUAUUCCGUGUGCUUUGGGUAUAUGGGCUGUUGGAAAUCUUGGACAGCAGAAAGGUGGAAUUUGGAUACCUUUAUUGACAGCUUAUUUAACGUUACCUUUAAAAUAUGUCAUGGACGAGUCAACAUGCUUACACGAUUAUGGUCUUAGCUGCAGCAUAUACCUUCGAUUCGUUCGAAAAACAAUGGAAACCAAAAAGCAAAACGACUAAAUCGUCGGGAUGCUGCAAGUACGUUGAAAAUUAAAAUUACUCUCGAUUAUUUACUCCGAAUGAGUGAUGGAAAACCUUGAAUUGGAACUAAAAUUGAAAUAUUAUUUUUACCAAGUUCAAUUUCAACUCUUUCAAAAAAAAAAAGCAAUCCAAA